GUGUCAGCAGCCGCGGUAAUACAGAGGGGGCCAGCGUUAUUCGGAAUUAUUGGGCGUAAAGGGCGCGUAGGCGGCUUUGCGUGUCUUUCGUGAAAUCCCUCGGCUUAACUGAGGACGUGCGGAAGAAACUGCAGAGCUGGAGUCCGGGAGAGGGGGGUGGAAUUCCCAGUGUAGCGGUGAAAUGCGUAGAUAUUGGGAGGAACACCGGUGGCGAAGGCGGCCCCCUGGACCGGUACUGACGCUGAGGCGCGAAAGCGUGGGUAGCAAACGGGAUUAGAUACCCUCGUAGUCC
rnacentral:rRNA from 1 species